rnacentral:rRNA from 1 species
AUUGAACGCUGGCGGCAGGCCUAACACAUGCAAGUCGAACGGAGUCGGGGACGGGUGAGUAAUGUCUGGGACAGUGCCUGGUGGAGGGGGAUAACUACUGGACACGGUAGCUAAUACCGCAUUCUAGCAUAUGAGCCGAGGUCGGAUGAGCUAGUGGGUGGGGUAAAGGCAUACCAAGGCGACGAUCCGUAACUGGUCUGAGAGGAUGAUCAGUCACACUGGAACUGAGACACGGUCCAGACUCCUACGGGAGGCAGCAGUGGGGAAUAUUGGACAAUGGGCGAAAGCCUGAUCCAGCCAUGCCGCGUGUGUGAAGAAGGUCUUCGGAUUGUAAAGCACUUUAAGUUGGGAGGCGUUACCAACAGAAUAAGCACCGGCUAACUUCGUGCCAGCAGCCGCGGUAAUUC